rnacentral:misc_RNA from 1 species
CGCCCAGCAAACGGAGCCGAAGGAUGCAAUGACGGCGAAGGCGACGAACGACGCCGUCGCAUUUAUCCGCAGCCUGGCCGAGCUGCGAGGNUUGGCCCGAGAAAGCGGUCCGCGAGGCAGCCAGUCUUUCCGCAAGCGCCGCGUUGCAAGCGAAUGUCAUCGAUCUCAUCGCGCGCGAUCCGGCCGAACUGCUCAAACAAAUCGAUGGCCGCGUCGUGGAAUUGCCCGGUGGCGACAGACGGCAUCUGGCGACGAAGGAUGCGACGAUCGAGACGAUCGACCCCGGAUGGAUCUCGCCAUUUCUGUCGAUUAUCACCAACCCCAACGUCGCCUUCAUUCUUCUGCUGGUUGGCAUCUACGGUCUGAUUUUUGAAUUCAUGUCUCCUGGCGCCGUCGCGCCCGGCGU